rnacentral:tRNA from 1 species
GCCCACCUGGCGGAAUUGGUAGACGCGCUGGUUUUAGGGUCCAGUGGCCACGGUCGUGGGGGUUCAAAUCCCCCGGUGGGCA